rnacentral:misc_RNA from 1 species
AGCAGGAGUAGUCCAUCAUCAAAAAUGCUCAUUGCAUCAAGGUGAAGAUUACCACCUUCCGAACGCAACCUGGAAUCAUUAGAAAAUGAGAUCACCCCACCCUGGUCAAAAAAGGCAUCAAUAGCAUGAGCAACCAGCCAGACAGAAUCAUAAGCAUAAAGCCCAUAAGAAUUUAGCCCCAGAGAACCACCAGCCAACUUGCUCCACCUAGAGGAAAAGGAUCUCUUCCUAUCUGAAUCAGGUGUGUAUUGACGUAAAGCAAGAACUCCUUGCAUUAUGUUUAUGGUCUCAGAAGGCAGAGGAGAAAAAGAAUCUAAAUAAGAUGAGAGCCAAUCUGUAGCAAUCCAUACAUAUCCAUUACCCAUCAUCCCAAGAUAUUUUGCCACGGAAAAGAGACUGAAACCUAAUUUAGGAUUCACGUGAAGAACAACAACUCGAGAUUCCAUUAAUGCAACCUUAACAAGAAUAUCC